GGUCCCGUGGUGUAAUGGUUAGCACUUUGGACUUUGAAUCCAGCGAUCCGAGUUCGAGUCUCGGCGGGACCU